rnacentral:rRNA from 1 species
AUUGAACGCUGGCGGCAUGCUUUACACAUGCAAGUCGAACGGCAGCGGGGAGGAGCUUGCUUCUCUGCCGGCGAGUGGCGAACGGGUGAGUAAUACAUCGGAACGUGUCGAGAAGAGGGGGAUAACCACCCGAAAGGGUGGCUAAUACCGCAUAAAUUCUGAGGAAGAAAGCUGGGGACCAAGGAAUAGGCCUACGCCUUUUUGACCGCCCGAUGCCGGAUUAGCUAGUUGGUGAGGGAAAGGCUGCCCAAGGCGACGACCUGUAGCGGGCCUGAGAGGAGGGGCCGCCACACGGGGACUGAGAGAGGGCCGAGACUCCUACGGGAGGCAGCAGUGGGGAAGUUUGGAGAAGGGGGGCAACCCUGAUCCAGCCAGGGCGCGUGUAUGAAGAAGGCCUGAGGGGGGGAAAGUACUGUUGUUAGGGAAGAAAAGGCAGCUGUGAAUAAUGGCUGAGACGGACGGUAGCUAAAGAAUAAGCACCGGCUAACUACGUG